GACACACCCGCUUUGCUUAGAGGCGCAGCAGAUAGAGCGGUUGUUAACGACUCUUAAAAGGGGGGAGGAACGGGGCAGCAGUAGGACAACGAACUGCAUUGCAUCGGGUGUCUGUUUGAAUUGGGACUCUGGCAAGGGCAGUGGGCUCUGGGGCGCCUGAGCAGCAGGAACCUUCAGGCAGUUUCCUCGCACAGAGCUUGAGAGAGGAAGCAAUGAAUGGGAGAAUUCAAAGGAUGGCGAUAAAUAAGACAAGAACUGAUGGAUCUACUGUUGACAGACAGGAGGAAACUGAAGUGGUGAAUGCUUUCAGAUGGAGGCCUUGGAAAGAUUUUGAUGAUAUUAUUCACUAUGGAGGUUUCUUGGAUCAGAUUCCAUCACCAUCAUCAGUUCAAGAAGUGCCUUCGUAUGACCCAAGCUUGCAUCAUGUAGCACCAUUGAUUUUGAAAAGCCUAAAAGCCAUGCCAGUGGAGGGCCAGUUUGAUGAUGCCGUUGAUUGAGCCAGUCCUAGGAUAUUGGGGUAGAAACAUUAAUUUCUAAACUAUAUUUCAGUAUGAAACUGAGACAAAGACAAUUAGCUUCAUGCUCUGAAGCCUCUAUAAAUUAAUUUUAUAACAUUUGCACCCCACAUUAUAUGACAGUCUGGCAUAUAAAAGCACUCGAAGGUGAGGAACUGAAGGGAUGGCAACUUUGACACUCUUUGUUCUACAUUGUUUUGAAAAUGGUUUAGAUUUUACUACCAUUAAUUUAUGACUAAGUCUGAAAUUCAACAUAACUGUGUCUGUUUGGCUGUUUGUUCCAUGUGUUUAUUUGCAGUUGGAGGUCUGCAACAAACUUGAG
rnacentral:lncRNA from 1 species